UGCGGACUUAUCCCGCGUCUUUCUUCCUGCCUGAGCGUUCCAGCUGCUGCCUGAACGUCAGUCGCAGCGUUCCAAUCCAAAGUAUUUUCCUUCUUUGCAGCGCUCGGAAGAAUUCAAAUUACACAUCUUACUGGAUCUUAAUUACAAUACGUCUUUAUACAGGGCCUGGCUUAAAAUGCAUUUCAUGGUCAGUGGAAAAAAAUGAGGAAGAGGAGGGUGUGGCUGCUGCUUAGAGAAUCUGGCUGUGCAGGCAGGGACUGUCUUUGGGGUUGUGAUCCUUCAACCUCACAGAAGGAAGACUUCUCUUAGCUAAAGGCUGCCUCUGGAUCUGUCUGGAUUUCUGGACAUAAGGAGAAGAGUGAUCAGUAUUGUUUCACCCAGAAAAAUUGAACUGUGCAAGAACUUUGUGUCACAGACUCACAUUUCCUCCAACUGUUUUUCUGUUCCAGUGAAGGAACGUAUUAUUCCAUAACUUCUUUUAGUGUGGUUUUACUUCCCAUUUUGGAUUUAGAUAUUGCUGUUGGCUGGUGUGAAGGAAGAAGAACUGGAGAAUGGAGGACAUGCAAGACUACACACCUCCUUCUGCCUGCAUGUCCUCAGAAGGAUUAGUGGUUGUAGAAUUUUUUGUUUGUUGUUUUUUUCUUAA